AAUAGAGUCAUUAGAUUUCGAUUUAUGAGAUCUGGUGAGACUAUUAGCAAGUCUUUUCACAAUGUGUUACAUUCAAUCAUUCGACUACAUGGAGCGUUAUUGAAAAGACCUGAACUGGUUGUUGAAAACUCAACAGAUGAAAGGUGGAAAUGGUUCAAGAAUUGCUUAGGGGCACUAGAUGGAACUCAUAUUAGAGUGAGAGUACCUAUGGCUGAUAAACCAAAAUAUCGUACUCGAAAAGGUGAAAUAGCUACAAAUGUCUUAGGUGUAUGCUCCCAAGACAUGCAAUUCAUAUAUGUGUUACUUGGAUGGGAAGGCUCUGUAGCAGAUGGUAGAGUUUUACGUGAUGCCAUACGUAGAACAAAUGGUUUGUGUGUUCCAAAUGGUAUGCUUUGUGUUUUAGAUUAUAUAUUUUUUUUGGAUAAGUAAGUCAUUUAGGAGACAACUUAAUCCUUAUCUUUAUUUUAUUUUAGGUUAUUAUUACCUUGUAGAUGGUGGAUAUACUAAUUGUAAGGGAUUUCUUGCUCCAUAUCGAGGCCAACGCUAUCACCUCAACCAAUGGGAAGAUGGGAAUCCUCCCAGAAAUCCACAAGAGUUUUUUAAUAUGAAGCACUCAUCUGCUAGGAAUGUCAUUGAGAGAUGUUUUGGUGCAAUUAAGAAUCGAUGGGCAAUUCUUAGGAGUCAGUCAUUCUAUCCAAUAAAGACUCAAAACCGAAUCAUUUUAGCAUGUUGUUUGCUUCACAAUUUUAUUAGGAGAGAAAUGCCUACUGAUAAUACUGAUAUGCAUCCAGAGAAUGAGAGUGAUAGUGGAGACGAAGAAGAUAUCAUGGAUGCUGAUGGAUCCAUAAGAAGUAUUGAAGCUUCUGAAGGGUGGACAACAUUUAGAAAUCAUUUAGCACUUGAGAUGUAUAACGAAUGGAGAGAACAUAGGAGAGCAAGCUAGUUUUUUUUAUUUCUUAGAUUAAAUGCACAAUGAUUGUCUAGGUUUCUAAAUUUGGUUUCACUUGGCUAUGCCAAUUCAUUUGACUGUUUGUGUAAUUGACCACCCAAAAAACUUAUAUCACUUGCUUUGAAAUGGAAAAUUUAUCUUUAAAUUUAUGUU